AGAAAAAAAAAACAAAACAAAUUGAGUUUGCACUUUUCUGCUGCUUUUUGCGUCUUUUUGUUGUUGCGUUGAAAAAAAUAAAUAUCUGAUCUGGAACCGGAAACAAAAUCACUGGAUUUGGAUGCAGUCAAACGAGCAAGAGGAUUUCUGCGAGAUCAGCCAAAAAUGCUGUCGUCACUUCCACGGGCAAGACUAGCAACGAAAACGUUUAACACACCGGACACAACCUGAACUCAAUGAGAAGGCAAGCGAAAUCCGUCCUCAUUGCUUUGGUGACUGCUGCCUGAUAAUUACAAGAAUCAGGUAAUUCGUUUGAUGACCUGCAGAAAAUGUCCGGAACUCGUCCCAUUCGGCUAUCACCUACAUGACGGAUGCCUGUAUCACUACGAAGAUGUUGCGAAGCUGCCGGAUUGGAAUAAUGGGCUCAUUUUGCGGAAAAUUUGGAAAUAAUAUGAUGAAUACGGCUGAAGUGAAUGUAUGUAAAGUGUAAGAGAGUAAAAUGCUCAAUAAUAACAUUUAAAAUUAAA
rnacentral:lncRNA from 1 species